GACGAACGCUGGCGGCGUGCUUAACACAUGCAAGUCGAGCGGUAAGGCCCUUUCGGGGGUACACGAGCGGCGAACGGGUGAGUAACACGUGGGUGACCUGCCCUCAGCUCUGGGAUAAGCCUGGGAAACUGGGUCUAAUACUGGAUAUGACCCCACGGUGCAUGUCGUGGGGUGGAAAGCCUUGUGCGGCUGAGGAUGGGCCCGCGGCCUAUCAGCUUGUUGGUGGGGUGANGGCCUACCAAGGCGACGACGGGUAGCCGGCCUGAGAGGGCGACCGGCCACACUGGGACUGAGACACGGCCCAGACUCCUACGGGAGGCAGCAGUGGGGAAUCUUGCGCAAUGGGCGAAAGCCUGACGCAGCGACGCCGCGUGAGGGAUGACGGCCUGG
rnacentral:rRNA from 1 species